rnacentral:rRNA from 1 species
UACGGAGGGAGCUAGCGUUGUUCGGAAUUACUGGGCGUAAAGCGCACGUAGGCGGCUUUGUAAGUUAGAGGUGAAAGCCCGGGGUUCAACUCCGGAACUGCCUUUAAGACUGCAUCGCUUGAAUCCGGGAGAGGUGAGUGGAAUUCCGAGUGUAGAGGUGAAAUUCGUAGAUAUUCGGAAGAACACCAGUGGCGAAGGCGGCUCACUGGACCGGUAUUGACGCUGAGGUGCGAAAGCGUGGGGAGCAAACAGG